UGGGGAAUAUUGGACAAUGGGCGCAAGCCUGAUCCAGCCAUGCCGCGUGGGUGAAGAAGGCCUUCGGGUUGUAAAGCCCUUUUGUCCGGAACGAAAAGCGAUCGGUUAAUACCCGGUCGUGCUGACGGUACCGGAAGAAUAAGCACCGGCUAACUUCGUGCCAGCAGCCGCGGUAAUACGAAGGGUGCAAGCGUUACUCGGAAUCACUGGGCGUAAAGCGUGCGUAGGCGGUUUCUUAAGUCUGUCGUGAAAGCCCUGGGCUCAACCUGGGAACGGCGAUGGAUACUGGGAAGCUAGAGUGUGAUAGAGGAUGGUGGAAUUCCCGGUGUAGCGGUGAAAUGCGUAGAGAUCGGGAGGAACACCAGUGGCGAAGGCGGCCAUCUGGAUCAACACUGACGCUGAGGCACGAAAGCGUGGGGAGCAAACA
rnacentral:rRNA from 1 species